CGGUUAACAGGCGGUGUAACAGGCCCUGAGGAUUCUCUGCUCUGCGCUGCCCCUGCCUUCCUGUGUUUAUAGUCCAGCGGGAGAGAGUCGGUAGUCAAAUAAUUGCACCUCUGCACGUUUACAAACUGUGGACAGUGCCAAGAAGGAGAAGCACAGGGUGCAGGAAGUGGCAGGGGGCGUGGUAGAGGCAGUGCAGAGCUGGCCGGCUGCCGCGUGGACAGCUGGUAGUAAAGCCGGGACAACUCUAUGCCACAACCUGGAGAGAUUAAAAUGCCACCUAAUUGCUGCAGAUCACUGAUUUCGAGUUCCCAAACUGACAAAACUGAAAGAUGAAGACCCCUGACGCUGUUGAGAAACAGGCACCUAACCCCAGGCAUGAAUUAGUACGUGGGAGAAAACAUCAGGCAAAACAAUUACUCUAGAGACUUUGGGAGUUUCAAGACAACUGAAUGCACGAUAAGAAAGGGGAUAUCUUGGAGAAGACAGACUGCUCAUCUCUACUGGGAUUCUUCUGGCUGCUGGAUCAGGCCCAGAAAGAACGGAAGAGGCUGGGGGAUGUAACCCUUGAACCACAGGUCAUUUAUGCAGCUGGAGUCAUGAGAGAUCAAAUCCUGCACUUUCGACAUUGCGUCUUUCGACAAUGUAUGUGGUUGAAAGGAAGAAGAGAGAGAAUACUCGUCUGUAAAGACCAGUAACACAGUGGGCCUGCUCAUGCUUAAAGAAGUUCUUUUCAAGCCCCUUUCCUGAUGAGGUCGCACUUUUUGAAUGUGGAUUUCAGCUAUCUGUACAUGUGGGAGGCUGGUAUCAGUAGCUCAGUGUCACAAGAAGGCCAAAGGGUUUAUCCUCCAAGAAUGCCAUGAUUGUGAACAAAGCCCAUAGAAACCAUGAAUACCUUCUCAGGGGAACCAAACACUGUAAAAGCCAAACACUCAGAUUGCACAGAGGGGGAGACAGUAUGAGAUACAGUACAGAAUACAUUGGGAAGUUGUUCUAAGAUCUGAUUAAUUAUGGGGAGCAAAAAUGGUAGAUUUUGCAGGCUCAAAUUAAUUUAAUGUGGUUCCAAAUUAUAUUAGUCAUCAGUAAAAAUCUCUUAUUGACACAAAACUCAAAAUUCCUUGAAAAGUUUCUAAAUUAAAUGUUUGAAACUUAAAUUUGUUGCUCAGAGUGGCUAGUCUCGUCUAUAUAUAAAAUGAUCAAAUAUACAGAUCUUUUAAAAUUUCAACAUGGAGACAGUGCAUUAAUUUUUAGAAACUUAAUGAUGGAAAGGUAUUUAGAGGAAUAAAAUACUAUUUCCUAUACAUCUAUGUGUUUGAUCCUCAAAAUAAAAAAGGAUAAAUACAAACCAAAUGGUAAGUCUGAAGUUGAUUAAUGCCUUAAUUGAAAGAAAAUUCUAAGCGAUCACACAGAAAUGCAGAAUAUCAUACAUUAAUCCUAAUUUUAUAACGCUAUAGAAAAUAAUAGACAAUUCAAAUAGCAGGAUUCUAAAUGCUCACCAUAAACCCAUAGCUCUCAGAGCCUAUUUUAGCCUUCUCCACAUAAAGGCUGGCAUAAAUUAAAAACAAGAAACAAAAAAAGCCAUGAAGUUACUGUGAUACAUUGUGAUAAAAGAAACCACUCUCUUGUACCACAUAAUAAUGGUUAUGACUGCUGCCUUUUCUCAAAAACGGAUUUCAGUUGUACAAAUAAAAUAAAAUGGAUAA